CAAUAAGAGUUAUCUAUACAGUGACAGCGUUUAAUUAUGAAAGUUGGCCUUUCGUGGUUCAAAAACGCGGAAUCUCGUCUCAAUCAUCAUUUGUCAGGACUUUUCAGGGGUAAGUUCUUUGGCUUGGACAGGACCCCAGUAGUCCUAGCCGUAAACGAUGGAUACUAGGUGUUGUGCGACUCGACCCGUGCAGUGUUGUAGCUAACGCGUUAAGUAUCUCGCUUGGGGAGUACGUUCGCAAGAAUGAAACGGCUCAUUCUUCAACAAGCACGCGGUCAGAGAUCACUUUCCCCUCCCACUGCUUGGGAGCUCAGCACUGUUUCACGUUCUAUUUCACUACCCCCUGGGGGUAGGAGAAGAACCCGACUCGGUAUUCUUAAAAAAAGCUCCUUGGUGGAGGAGUAGAAGCGUUGGUCCCCUUCGGUCAAGUGCUUGUGCGUGCUCUUACCUACCGUAGGACCUCGUCCAAAGAUACUUUUAAGGCCGACCACUACAUAGGAGCGAUAGGAAGCCAAGCCGUCAAAAGGAAAGGCGAGCAGCCCUUAUUGCAAUAGCAAACGCUGUGUACCUAUUUUGGGGCUUUACUCUUUCAUGAUGGAACGAGGAGCUUGAGUUGAUUUGCGGCAGUAGCGGCAAGCACCGAAGAAGUUCUACUUUCCCUUCGACAUCUUGUAAGUCACUGCCUCCUUACCCAGCGAGUGAAUGAACGAGCCAAUAAACUGCCGUAAGGAGGGGAUGCCUAAGGCUAGGCUUGCGACUGGAGUGAAGUCGUAACAAGGUAGCCGUACUGGAAGGUGCGGCUGGAUCACCUCCUUU
rnacentral:ncRNA from 1 species